CGGGACACGUGGUAUCCUGUCUGAAUAUGGGGGGACCAUCCUCCAAGGCUAAAUACUCCUGACUGACCGAUAGUGAACCAGUACCGUGAGGGAAAGGCGAAAAGAACCCCGGCGAGGGGAGUGAAAAAGAACCUGAAACCGUGUACGUACAAGCAGUGGGAGCACGCUUAGGCGUGUGACUGCGUACCUUUUGUAUAAUGGGUCAGCGACUUAUAUUCUGUAGCAAGGUUAACCGAAUAGGGGAGCCGAAGGGAAACCGAGUCUUAACUGGGCGUUAAGUUGCAGGGUAUAGACCCGAAACCCGGUGAUCUAGCCAUGGGCAGGUUGAAGGUUGGGUAACACUAACUGGAGGACCGAACCGACUAAUGUUGAAAAAUUAGCGGAUGACUUGUGGCUGGGGGUGAAAGGCCAAUCAAACCGGGAGAUAGCUGGUUCUCCCCGAAAGCUAUUUAGGUAGCGCCUCGUGAAUUCAUCUCCGGGGGUAGAGCACUGUUUCGGCAAGGGGGUCAUCCCGACUUACCAACCCGAUGCAAACUGCGAAUACCGGAGAAUGUUAUCACGGGAGACACACGGCGGGUGCUAACGUCCGUCGUGAAGAGGGAAACAACCCAGACCGCCAGCUAAGGUCCCAAAGUCAUGGUUAAGUGGGAAACGAUGUGGGAAGGCCCAGACAGCCAGGAUGUUGGCUUAGAAGCAGCCAUCAUUUAAAGAAAGCGUAAUAGCUCACUGGUCGAGUCGGCCUGCGCGGAAGAUGUAACGGGGCUAAACCAUGCACCGAAGCUGCGGCAGCGACGCUGAUGCGUUGUUGGGUAGGGGAGCGUUCUGUAAGCCUGUGAAGGUGUGCUGUGAGGCAUGCUGGAGGUAUCAGAAGUGCGAAUGCUGACAUAAGUAACGAUAAAGCGGGUGAAAAGCCCGCUCGCCGGAAGACCAAGGGUUCCUGUCCAACGUUAAUCGGGGCAGGGUGAGUCGACCCCUAAGGCGAGGCCGAAAGGCGUAGUCGAUGGGAAACAGGUUAAUAUUCCUGUACUUGGUGUUACUGCGAAGGGGGGACGGAGAAGGCUAUGUUGGCCGGGCGACGGUUGUCCCGGUUUAAGCGUGUAGGCUGGUUUUCCAGGCAAAUCCGGAAAAUCAAGGCUGAGGCGUGAUGACGAGGCACUACGGUGCUGAAGCAACAAAUGCCCUGCUUCCAGGAAAAGCCUCUAAGCAUCAGGUAACAUCAAAUCGUACCCCAAACCGACACAGGUGGUCAGGUAGAGAAUACCAAGGCGCUUGAGAGAACUCGGGUGAAGGAACUAGGCAAAAUGGUGCCGUAACUUCGGGAGAAGGCACGCUGAUAUGUAGGUGAAGCGACUUGCUCGUGGAGCUGAAAUCAGUCGAAGAUACCAGCUGGCUGCAACUGUUUAUUAAAAACACAGCACUGUGCAAACACGAAAGUGGACGUAUACGGUGUGACGCCUGCCCGGUGCCGGAAGGUUAAUUGAUGGGGUCAGCGCAAGCGAAGCUCUUGAUCGAAGCCCCGGUAAACGGCGGCCGUAACUAUAACGGUCCUAAGGUAGCGAAAUUCCUUGUCGGGUAAGUUCCGACCUGCACGAAUGGCGUAAUGAUGGCCAGGCUGUCUCCACCCGAGACUCAGUGAAAUUGAACUCGCUGUGAAGAUGCAGUGUACCCGCGGCAAGACGGAAAGACCCCGUGAACCUUUACUAUAGCUUGACACUGAACAUUGAGCCUUGAUGUGUAGGAUAGGUGGGAGGCUUUGAAGUGUGGACGCCAGUCUGCAUGGAGCCGGCCUUGAAAUACCACCCUUUAAUGUUUGAUGUUCUAACGUUGACCCGUGAUCCGGGUUGCGGACAGUGUCUGGUGGGUAGUUUGACUGGGGCGGUCUCCUCCUAAAGAGUAACGGAGGAGCACGAAGGUUGGCUAAUCCUGGUCGGACAUCAGGAGGUUAGUGCAAUGGCAUAAGCCAGCUUGACUGCGAGCGUGACGGCGCGAGCAGGUGCGAAAGCAGGUCAUAGUGAUCCGGUGGUUCUGAAUGGAAGGGCCAUCGCUCAACGGAUAAAAGGUACUCCGGGGAUAACAGGCUGAUACCGCCCAAGAGUUCAUAUCGACGGCGGUGUUUGGCACCUCGAUGUCGGCUCAUCACAUCCUGGGGC
rnacentral:rRNA from 1 species